GGGGGAGCUCUACGCGCGUUCAGUUUUGCUGGAGCGUCAGCAGAAGAAACAUCGUGUCUGGUUUUCUGACUAUCUUCAUUUUCAGAUUUCCCCUCUUUCAAGCAGCCUGACCCAAACCAUCACCAUUCCCAAGACGUAAUCCAACCCAAAAAUAACUUUUUAGCACACCACACUCAGACUUUGGACCAGUCUUCAUAUGGAUCACCUUAACUCCUCUGAAUGAAUUAUCAAGAAUCUAUACACUUGGAGUGAAUGCUGCAACUCCAAGCUCUUAUCUUUUAAAGGUGCGGUUUUCACUCCUCCUUUUAUGACACUCGAUAACACAAAAAACACACACAGACCUACCUGCGCUGGCCAUCAACACCUUGUGGAGUAAAUACAGAGUACAAGAAAAGAAAUAAAGGUCAAGAUCUCUGAUAAAA